rnacentral:lncRNA from 1 species
UUCCUUAGACGUUUAUCAUUUAUAUCCCUCACACUGUGGACCCCCCACCCCCCUUGGGAAGGUCUGAGACAAGGGCCAGUAGCGGCCCAGCAGGGCCCUCCCUGAGCUUCGGGGAGGUGAGUUCCCAGAGAACGGGGCUCCGCGCGAGGGCAGACUGGGCAGGAGAGCUCAUUUAUUUUUAUCCUUGAAUAAUAUUCUAUUGUCUGGAGGUACCACAGUUUAUCCAUUCAUCUACCGAA